CCUACGGGUGGCAGCAGUGGGGAAUAUUGGACAAUGGGCGAAAGCCUGAUCCAGUCAUGCCGCGUGUGUGAAGAAGGCCUUCGGGUUGUAAAGCACUUUCAGUGGGGAAGAAAGCCUUGGGGCUAAUACCCUCGAGGUAGGACAUCACCCACAGAAGAAGCACCGGCUAACUCCGUGCCAGCAGCCGCGGUAAUACGGAGGGUGCGAGCGUUAAUCGGAAUUACUGGGCGUAAAGCGCGCGUAGGCGGUCUGAUAAGCCGGUUGUGAAAGCCCCGGGCUCAACCUGGGAACGGCAUCCGGAACUGUCAGGCUAGAGUGCAGGAGAGGAAGGUAGAAUUCCCGGUGUAGCGGUGAAAUGCGUAGAGAUCGGGAGGAAUACCAGUGGCGAAGGCGGCCUUCUGGACUGACACUGACGCUGAGGUGCGAAAGCGUGGGUAGCAAACAGGAUUAGAUACCCCAGUAGUC
rnacentral:rRNA from 1 species